CCAGAGGGCCAGGUGGCCGCUCUGCCCACGGGUUAAUCCCUGGGGGCGGGGAGGAAAGUCCGGGCUCCACGGAAACACGGUGCCGGCUAACGGCCGGCGAGGGCGACCUCAGGGAAAGUGCCACAGAAAACAGACCGCCCGCCGCGGGUAACCGCAGCAGGUAAGGGUGAAACGGUGCGGUAAGAGCGCACCGCGCUUGCUGGCAACAGCAGCGGCACGGAAAACCCCACCGGGAGCAAGACCGAAUAGGAGUGUUGCGCCUGGGGCAACCCAGGCAGGCCCGUUUCCGGGCUAGGCACUCGGGUUGGUCGCGCGAGGCGUCCAGCAAUGGGCGUCCCAGAGGAAUGGCCAUCGCCCUGCGUAAGCAGGGUACAGAACCCGGCUUAUCGGCCCUCUGGCGUA
rnacentral:RNase_P_RNA from 1 species